rfam:Ictidomys tridecemlineatus contig066082, whole genome shotgun sequence.
UGGGGUGUGGCUCAGUGUUAGAGCACUUGCCUAGCAUGUGUGAGGCCCUGGGUUCAAUUUUCAGCACUGCAU